UUGAAAGGGAAACGAUGGAAGUCAGUCGUACCUGCGGGAUAAUCAGCCUUUCGAGUAUGAUUCUGUGGAGUGUAAGGAGUUUAACCGUCUUCAUACCUGCAUAUUCGUGCGCUUUGGGUGUACUUGUCCGUAUGGUAGGUUAACAUCAAUUUUGGUCGUUAUAAAAUGACUAGGGGAAUGUAGCUUUGAUCCCGUAUUGAAGUGUUAUAGCCUCUGGUAAAUGCAGUGACUAGGAUUGAGGAUUGCAACGGAUACCUUUCGGGGCUACUCGUCUGAUCUCUGGAAGUUACUUUGGUGCUAAAAGCUUGCUUAUGGUUAUCGAAGUUGACGGUCAAUAGGUUAGAACGAGUUAAAUUCGUUAAGGAUGUUGACGUA
rnacentral:rRNA from 1 species